rnacentral:rRNA from 1 species
AUGCUCUCUCAAGGUUUCAAAAGGUCUAAUUAUGAUAGUUGUGUUUAUUUGAAAACUGUCAACGGUUCAACUAUUUAUUUGCUCCUUUAUGUUGAUGAUAUGCUUAUUGCUGCAAAGAGUAUGUCAGAGAUUAAUGAACUAAAGAAGCAAUUGAGUAAUGAAUUUGAGAUGAAGGAUUUGGGUGCAGCAAAGAAAAUUCUUGGCAUGGAAAUAUCCAGAGAUAGACCGUCUGGAAAAUUAUAUCUAAGUCAGAAGGGAUAUAUUGAUAAAGUUCUUCGUUGUUUUAAUAUGCAUAAUGCCAAGCCGGUGAGUACACCGUUAGCUGCACACUUCAAAUUGUCAUCAGCUUUAUGUCCUAAGUCAGAUGCAGAUAUUGAGUACAUGUCUAGAGUUCCCUAUUCGAGUGCAGUUGGUUCACUUAUGUAUGCCAUGGUUUGUUCUCGUCCAGAUCUAUCAUAUGCAUUGAGUGUUGUCAGUAGAUACAUGGCUAAUCCUGGAAAAGAGCAUUGGAAAGCAGUUCAGUGGAUUUUUAGAUACCUGCGUGGUACUUCUAAUGCUUAUUUACAGUUUGGGAAAACUGAAGAUGGACUUGUUGGUUUUGUUGAUUCUGAUUUUGCUGGUGAUUUGGAUAAGAGAAGAUCACUCACAGGUUAUGUUUUCACAUUGGUGGUUGUGCUGUGA